rnacentral:rRNA from 1 species
UACAGGGGGGGGCAAGCGUUGUUCGGAAUUACUGGGCGUAAAGGGCUCGUAGGCGGCCAACUAAGUCCGACGUGAAAUCCCCCAAGCUUAACUUGGGAACUGCGUCGGAUACUGGAUGGCUUGAAUUCGGGAGAGGGAUGCAGAAUUCCAGGUGUAGCGGUGAAAUGCGUAGAUAUCUGGAGGAAUACCGGUGGCGAAGGCGGCAUCCUGGACCGACAUUGACGCUGAUGAGCGAAAGCUAGGGGAGCAAACGGG